rnacentral:rRNA from 1 species
AUUGAACGCUGGCGGCAGGCUUAACACAUGCAAGUCGAACGAGUGGCGGACGGGUGAGUAAUGCUUGGGAAUCUAGCUUAUGGAGGGGGAUAACUACGGGAAACUGUAGCUAAUCCCGCGUACCAUAGGAUGAGCCCACGUGGGAUUAGGUAGUUGGUGAGGUAAAGGCGCACCAAGCCGACGAUCUCUAGCUGGUCUGAGAGGAUGACCAGCUACACCUGGACUGAGACACGGCCCAGACUCCUCCGGGAGGCAGCAGUGGGGAAUAUUGCGCAAUUGGGGCAACCUGACGCAGCCAUGCCGCGUGAAUGAAGAAGGCCUUCGGGUUGUAAAGUUCUUUCGGUAGCGAGGCGUUAACUACAGAAGAAGCACCGGCUAACUCCGUGCCAGCAGCCGCGGUAAUAC